AGCCGCAAGGCGAAGCUCUUGAUCGAAGCCCCAGUAAACGGCGGCCGUAACUAUAACGGUCCUAAGGUAGCGAAAUUCCUUGUCGGGUAAGUUCCGACCUGCACGAAUGGCGUAAUGAUGGCCAGGCUGUCUCCACCCGAGACUCAGUGAAAUUGAACUCGCUGUGAAGAUGCAGUGUACCCGCGGCAAGACGGAAAGACCCCGUGAACCUUUACUAUAGCUUGACACUGAACAUUGAGCCUUGAUGUGUAGGAUAGGUGGGAGGCUUUGAAGCGUGGACGCCAGUCUGCGUGGAGCCAUCCUUGAAAUACCACCCUUUAAUGUUUGAUGUUCUAACUCGGCCCCAUAAUCUGGGGUGAGGACAGUGUCUGGUGGGUAGUUUGACUGGGGCGGUCUCCUCCCAAAGAGUAACGGAGGAGCACGAAGGUUAGCUAAUCACGGUCGGACAUCGUGAGGUUAGUGCAAAGGCAUAAGCUAGCUUGACUGCGAGAGUGACGGCUCGAGCAGGUACGAAAGUAGGUCUUAGUGAUCCGGUGGUUCUGAAUGGAAGGGCCAUCGCUCAACGGAUAAAAGGUACUCCGGGGAUAACAGGCUGAUACCGCCCAAGAGUUCAUAUCGACGGCGGUGUUUGGCACCUCGAUGUCGGCUCAUCACAUCCUGGGGCUGAAGUAGGUCCCAAGGGUAUGGCUGUUCGCCAUUUAAAGUGGUACGCGAGCUGGGUUUAGAACGUCGUGAGACAGUUCGGUCCCUAUCUGCCGUGGGCGUUGGAAGAUUGAGAGGGGUUGCUCCUAGUACGAGAGGACCGGAGUGAACGCACCACUGGUGUUCGGGUUGUCAUGCCAAUGGCAUUGCCCGGUAGCUAAGUGCGGAAAAGAUAAGCGCUGAAAGCAUCUAAGCGCGAAACUUGCCUCAAGAUGAGUCUUCCCUGGGCCUUUAAGG
rnacentral:rRNA from 1 species